rnacentral:tRNA from 1 species
GCUAAUUUGGCAGAUUAGUGCAAUAAAUUUAGAAUUUAUAUAUAUGAUUAUGUUCAUAUUUAGCA